rnacentral:rRNA from 1 species
UACGGGGGGGGCAAGCGUUGUUCGGAAUUACUGGGCGUAAAGGGCUCGUAGGCGGCCAACUAAGUCAGACGUGAAAUCCCUCGGCUUAACCGGGGAACUGCAUCUGAUACUGGAUGGCUUGAGUUCGGGAGAGGGAUGCGGAAUUCCAGGUGUAGCGGUGAAAUGCGCAGAUAUCAGGAGGAACACCGGUGGCGAAGGCGGUUCUCUGGGCAUUACCUGACGCUGAGGAGCGAAAGUGUGGGAGCGAACAGGA